AACGCAUCUUGCGCUCCUUGGUAUUCCGAGGAGCAUGCCUGUUUGAGUGUCAUUAAAUAUCUCAAAAAGCUUGUGCAUUUUUGGCAUGGGAUUUUUGGACAUUGGGAGUUGCCGGCCGCUGAUAAAGUGGUGGGCUCUUCUGAAAAGCAUUAGUUGAGGAGCUUUGCACUCUAUUGGUGUGAUAGACUAUCUAUGCCAGGAGAUGCUUCAUGAUCCUCUGCCAUCUAACUGUCUUUAUUGGACAAUAUGAUAAACUUGACCUCAAAUCAGGUAGGACUACCCGCUGAACUUAA
rnacentral:misc_RNA from 2 species